UGGGAGGAAAAGAAACCAACUGGGAUUACCUUAGUAACGGCGAGUGAAGCGGUAAAAGCUCAAAUUUGAAAUCUGGUACUUUCAGUGCCCGAGUUGUAAUUUGUAGAAUUUGUCUUUGAUUAGGUCCUUGUCUAUGUUCCUUGGAACAGGACGUCAUAGAGGGUGAGAAUCCCGUUUGGCGAGGAUACCUUUUCUCUGUAAGACUUUUUCGAAGAGUCGAGUUGUUUGGGAAUGCAGCUCAAAGUGGGUGGUAAAUUCCAUCUAAAGCUAAAUAUUGGCGAGAGACCGAUAGCGAACAAGUACAGUGAUGGAAAGAUGAAAAGAACUUUGAAAAGAGAGUGAAAAAGUACGUGAAAUUGUUGAAAGGGAAGGGCAUUUGAUCAGACAUGGUGUUUUUUGCAUGCACUCGCCUCUCGUGGGCUUGGGCCUCUCAAAAAUUUCACUGGGCCAACAUCAAUUCUGGCAGCAGGAUAAAUCAUUAAGAAUGUAGCUACUUCGGUAGUGUUAUAGCUUUUUGGAAUACUGUUAGCCGGGAUUGAGGACUGCGCUUCGGCAAGGAUGUUGGCAUAAUGGUUAAAUGCCGCCCGUCUUA
rnacentral:rRNA from 1 species